GACAGAGGUGCCAAGCGUUAGGCGGAAUCACUGGGCUUAAAGCGUGUGUAGGCGGAUCGGUAAGUACCUUGUGAAAUCCCACGGCUUAACUGUGGAACUGCUGGGUAUACUGCCAGUCUUGAGCCACUCAGGGGCUACCGGAACAAAUGGUGGAGCGGUGAAAUGCGCAGAUAUCAGGAGGAACACCAGCGGCGAAGGCGGCGCUCUGGGCCGGUACUGACGCUGAGGAGCGAAAGCGUGGGUAGCAAACAGG
rnacentral:rRNA from 1 species